GGGGGCGACCUGGCUUCGACGUGGGUUGCAAAACCUUAGGUGCAUGCCGAGGGGCAGAAAACCUCGUAAAUCCAGCUGCAAAACUAUAGUUGCUAACGACGACAACUACGCACUCGCUGCUUAAACCCCAGUAGGGUGCCGUCUGACUGAAGCCGUGCUUGUGCGUUCAGAUCCAGGCGUCGACCUCACAAGAUCGUGAUGAAGCUUGUUCUGGGUGGAUUCACUAAAACUUUUCAGAACUCGCCGUUUGUUUUCCCUGUUCGUCGGGUAGCUUGCGGUUAAACUAAUUGACGAAAUAAGCAUGUAGAGCCGAAGGCAGAGGGCUUGCGGACGCGGGUUCGAUUCCCGCCGCCUCCACCA
rnacentral:tmRNA from 1 species